rnacentral:rRNA from 1 species
CCUACGGGAGGCUGCAGUGGGGAAUAUUGCACAAUGGGCGCAAGCCUGAUGCAGCCAUGCCGCGUGUGUGAAGAAGGCCUUCGGGUUGUAAAGCACUUUCAGCGGGGAGGAAGGCGGUGAGGUUAAUAACCUCAUCGAUUGACGUUACCCGCAGAAGAAGCACCGGCUAACUCCGUGCCAGCAGCCGCGGUAAUACGGAGGGUGCAAGCGUUAAUCGGAAUUACUGGGCGUAAAGCGCACGCAGGCGGUCUGUCAAGUCGGAUGUGAAAUCCCCGGGCUCAACCAGGGAACUGCAUUCGAAACUGGCAGGCUAGAGUCUUGUAGAGGGGGGUAGAAUUCCAGGUGUAGCGGUGAAAUGCGUAGAGAUCUGGAGGAAUACCGGUGGCGAAGGCGGCCCCCUGGACAAAGACUGACGCUCAGGUGCGAAAGCGUGGGGAGCAAACAGGAUUAGAUACCCGAGUAGUC